AAGGCAUCUAGCAUGUAUUCAGUAACAUUUAUCUAACUAAUAUUUAUUAAACUCCCAGUACAUGACAGAUAUGGUGCCAGGCCUUGAGUACACAAUAGUGGGGAAGAUAAAGCAGGUUUCUGCUCCCACUAAACUCAAGCCAGGUGAAGAUGGAAAACAACUAAACCUACAUUCAAAAUGAAGUGAGAUAAACAGGAUAAUAGUGGAAUGUCUUCCAGAUGGCUAUCUUGGUGUUUGCUGGUACCGACUACCACCCAAAUCAGAAAGUCCAGAAGAUGGAAAAGGACAGGCCUCACAGCAAAAUAUCCACCCUUAAGUCAAUAGUGCUGCAGCUGAGAAACCACACGUUCGUGGACACUUUUUCUUCCAGCUCUUGCGCACCUCUUCCAGUACCUGACUCAGUGAUCAUACAUGGACAUGGGUGAUGUCAACUGCCUUUUGCCACCACGGAUGGUUUUGCUAUUCAUUAUCGGUUUGCCUAAAAUUAAUGUUAGGCCAUGAUGUAUGGUUGUUUAACAGCUUAUGCUUUCUUUUUUUAAUAGUCUUUAAGAAAAAAUUGAAACUUGUAAUCUGAAGUGGUAAAGAAAACAUAUUUUCAAACUUUGUUUAAAAUCCAAAUGAUCCUCAAACUAAUUAAAAUAAGAUCUAAGAUGGUGUCUGAUAUUUUCAAGGUCAUUGGAGAUAAUUACCUUGUUUUGAUCAUUCUUACCGAUAAUGGCACUAAAAGUAAUUUGGUGACAGGGCUAUCCCUAAUUGGAUAUGGCUGUCUUGGUUUUGGGUUUUUUUUUGGGGGGGGGGGGACUCUUUAGGGCUGCACCAGUGGUAUUUGGAGGUUCUAAGGCUAGGGGUUGAAUCAGAGCUGUAGCUGCUGGCCUACACCCCAGCCACAGCAAUGAGGGAUCAGAGCCACAUCUGUGACCUACACCACAGCUCACUGCAAUGCCAGAUCCUUAACUCAGGAGCAAGGCCAAGGGUCAAACCUGCAUCCUCAUGGAUGCUAGUCAGAUUCAUUUCUGCUGAGCCACGAUGGGAACUCCUGCCUUGUUAGUGAAGGGCAGUGCUGGAGCAGGGGGAAGGGG
rnacentral:lncRNA from 9 species